UGGCAGGUCUGUUUACUUUCUGGUAUCUUCUUUCUGUGGGCCAGAUAACCACCAUUUCCUGAUCCCAUACCACCAAUACAACCAGCCAUGGUCCAGCCACAAACAGGAUCUGAACUCACCACAGAUGUUGGACCUGGACCUAACCCAAGAAAAUCAUGCCCACAGCUAAGCCUGAUCCUGAUACGGGCAGAGGAAGACGUAACUUCAGUCAAGAAGCUAAAGGAACACACACGUUGAAGGGAACAUGGGAAAACUGUCUGUGCAGCUCCACCUUCUGGGCGCAUUCUGCCAAACAUUUGGAGGGCCUAACCAUGUUUCUUGGGAGUCUCAUUUGGCUGACUGUGGAGACCAGGUCUCUAGAUGGAUGUUUUACCUUUAAACAUGACAAUUUUGUUUGAAUAUAACGAGCCAAGAAUUACACAGCUGCCAUUCUUUGUUUUGUCUAAAUUGUCUUGAUUUUUAACUUUACAUGUAUAAACUAUAUUCCAAAAACAAAAUUAAAAUGAAUAGGCAGGAGUUAGAUGGGGUACAUGAUGGAUGCUGGGUGUGUAGUUAGUAAUAGGAACAUUUGCUGCCACCUACAAGAACACGUGGGACACUUUCCCCUUUUCUAGACGAAAAACCAGGGAUCCAGGGCCAAAUUUCAGUUUAUCUUUCUUUUAGAAAGGGCUGUACCUGUUGCAUGUAUGUUUUAAUUAAGAAAACUGAAUAUACAAAAAUUCCAUAUUUCAGAAGCAAUGUUUUGAUGGUCAUUUGCAGUAGCUAAGGAUGGCUUCAUGAAAACAGGGGCUUCCUCAGAAUCCCUUUCUGUAUCUAUCAGCCACUCUAGUGUAGGCAAUUGACUUAAAAGUUUUGCAAAACAAGGCAUGCCGCCAAUUCUGUUCCUCCCCUAAUCAAUCCUUUCUCACAAAUAAUAAAAUGAUUGCUCAGUGUUAAUCUCUCUAUGAAACUUUACAGAGUAAUCCUAUCAUUUGCCUGUUAUGCAGAAAUGAGCUGAAAGCAUCAGGAACAUUAGCAUAUUUUUCCUCCAUGAAAUUUCCAGAGGACAACGACAAACAGACCCCCUUCUCCUGCCUCCUUCUCUCCAACAACCCCCGACAAAAUACCCUACACCCAGAUUCCCCUCUUUCCUUGGUAAGGCUGAUGGAGGCUUAGAAGGACACUUGGUAUCCCCACUCCCUCUUCCCAUUUUAAUCAGUCAAAAUGCCAAUGAAAUGCAAGUCAACACGUGUUCUUUUUUUCUUUUUUAAAGCAUGAAAAACAUUUCUUUCAAAAUAAAUAUACAGUUCUAUAAAAAACAUAAAAAGGCACUCUAAUCUCGGCUGCUGUCCAGCAGAAACAUGUUCAACUGUUUUUAGAGUCAUCCAUAAAAAUAAGUUCUUUUAGACAGGUUUAGAACACUUUCAAACAUAGGAAAUUCUUUAUUCCACAAACAAGUCCUUUUAGAGAUACUCUAAAUAUGUCUGUGAUGAAUGUCUUUUUCACAUCCAGGAUUCAAGGCUGUUGAAGUGAGCUAGACUACGAAUACCAAGAACACAAAAUUGUAUUGAUACAGAAAACUUACGUAAAUUGCUUUGUCAGACUACAAAAAUACAUCAGGUUUUAUCUAUGGUUUUCAUCGGUUAAUAAGUUAGUUGCUUAAUAUACCGCUCAGGUGUUUCUCUUAAUUCAAGUAUGAAAGGCAGUCCCGAGUCUUAGGGGCACCCACCGCAGCCACAUUACUGCACUGGGACAGAUGCAGGCCGCAGCGUUCCCAGAAUUUUGUCCCAGUGUGUGAAGUACGGGGCAAAG
rnacentral:lncRNA from 1 species